rnacentral:misc_RNA from 1 species
UAUCCGUAGGUGAACCUGCGGAAGGAUCAUUGCACACACAAAGUUGCAGCAAACCCGCCGCGAAUAACACACACCCGUCCCGUGUUCGCCUUCCUUCGAGUGGAGUGGAGUCGAGUUGACGGGGUGCGGGUCGAUCGCUCGCGCCGCGUUUCUCCGGAACCGCGGCGCGUCCCGGUCGGCCGGCCCCGUUGCUUUCGCUCGCUCACCCGGGAGUAACUCCCCGGGCCGGGGGUGAUCACACACAUCCCGCCGUCCGCGCGCGACGCGGCUGGCCCCCGCCGGUGCGCCGGAGGCGACGGUGGCGCAAUGCACCGACGCUUUCUCGAACGUGACUGUGUCCCGCUUGAUACCGAGGAACUUCGGGAGUCCGGCGGCUGGAGUCGCGCCGGCUAGCUAGCGCGGCUCCGACUGCCGCUGCGGCUCUCGGGUUGCGAGGAGGAUGCGAACUGAUGUAUAAUCCAACACAACUCUCAGCAACGGAUAUCUUGGCUCUU